rnacentral:rRNA from 1 species
GAACGGCUCAUUAUAUCAGUAAUAAUUUCUUCGGUAGUUUCUUUUAUAUGGAUACCUGCAGUAAUUCUGGAAAUAAUACAUGCUGUAAGAGCCCUGUAUGGGGCUGCACUUAUUAGAUUGAAGCCGAUUUUAUUGGUGAAUCAUGAUAAUUGAGCAGAUUGACUAUUUUGGUCGAUGAAUCGUUUGAGUUUCUGCCCCAUCAGUUGUCGACGGUAGGGUAUUGGACUACGGGGACUAUAACGGGGGACGGAAAGUUAGGGCUCGACUCCGGAAAGGGAGCCUGAAAAACGGUUACCAUAUCCAAGGAAAGCAGCAGGGGCGUAAAUUACCCCCUGGGGACCCCACAAGGUAUUGACAAAAAAUAUCAAUGCCAAGCGGGUAUGGGUUUUGCUAUCGGAAUGAGAGCAAUGUAAAACCCUUAUCGAGGAUCAACUGGAGGGCAAGUUUGUGUCCAGCGCACGCGGUAAUUCCAGCUCAGGGAGCAUGUUCAAAAUUUGGCAGAUUUAAAAAGCUCGUUGGUGAAUUUCUGGCAUGCGCCCCGGUGUUUCCCCUGAAGGGGGAUUGAUUUGUGUGCUGCCUUGGCCCAUCAACCCCUGCUAUUUUGGGAGAGAAAUCUUCCACUGAACUCAAAGCAGAGUGUUUCAACCGGUUGGUAUGCCGGGUAUUAUUAUUAUGGGAUGAUAAGAUGGGAUUGGGGUGUUUUUUUUUGGUUUCCCACCCUUGAGAAAGGUUAAAUGGAAACAUUGGGGGGUUUUGGUUUUUGGGAGCGAGGGGGAAAUUUUUGGAUUUUCGAAAAGACAAAUGAGAGGAAGGCCUUUUCCCACCCAUUUUUCCUUAAUCAAAAAAAAAAGUCUGGGGGAUGAAAGAUGAUUAGAUACCAUCGUAGUCUAGACCGUAAAGGAUCCGGACUUGGGUUUUUGGGGUGUUUUUUUAUGGGCCUCAGCAGCAGCCCAUGAGAAAUCAAAGUCUUUGGGUUCCGGGGGGAGUAUGGUCGCAAGGCUGAAACUUAAAGGAAUUGCCGGAAGGGCACCACCAGGAGUGGAGCCUGCGGCUUAAUUUGACUCAACACGGGAAAACUUACCAGGUCCAGACAUAGGUAGGAUUGACAGAUUGAGAGCUCUUUCAUGAUUCUAUGGGUGGUGGUGCAUGGCCGUUCUUAGUUGGUGGAGGGAUUUGUCUGGUUAAUUCCGUUAACGAACGAGACCUGGGCCUACUAAAUAGUGGGGGGUAGGGCAACAAAGUGGGUUUUAACUUCUUAGAGGGACAUUUCCGGUUUACGGGCAGGAAGUUGGAGGCAAUAACAGGUCUGUGAUGCCCUUAGAUGUUCUGGGCCGCACGCCCGCUCACUGAUGGGUUCAUCGGGUUUUAAUUUUAAUUUUUGGAAUUGAGUGCUUGGUCGGAAGGCCUGGCUAAUCCUUGGAACGCUCAUCGUGCUGGGGCUAGAUUUUUGCAAUUAUUAAUCUCCAACGAGGAAUUCCUAGUAAACGCAAGUCAUCAGCUUGCAUUGAAUACGUCCCUGCCCUUUGUACACACCGCCCGUCGCACCUACCGAUUGAACGGUCCGAUGAAACCAUGGGAUGUUUGUGUUUGGAUUCAUUUUUGGACAUAGGCAGAACUCGGGUGAAUCUUAUUGUUAGAGGAAGGGAAGUCG